rnacentral:rRNA from 1 species
UACAGAGGUCUCAAGCGUUGUUCGGAUUCAUUGGGCGUAAAGGGUGUGUAGGUGGCGCUGUAAGUCGGGUGUGAAAUUUCGGAGCUUAACUCCGAAACUGCAUUCGAUACUGCGGUGCUUGAGGACUGGAGAGGAGACUGGAAUUCAUGGUGUAGCAGUGAAAUGCGUAGAUAUCAUGAGGAAGACCAGUGGCGAAGGCGGCUCUCUGGGACGGUACUGACGCUGAGACGCGAAAGCGUGGGGAGCAAACAGG